UAAUCUUUUUAGAAAUCAAACCGAAAUAAGCUGGAUAGUUCAAACUCAAACAUAUCAAACUGAACAAUCUCAAGAAAUCAAGAGAAAAUGAGAACUUGCAAAGUUGGGAUAUAUCCAACCAAGCCUGAUACACAUAUAUACUCUCCUUAGUGUUCACUUACCUUAUCGCAUAACAUUUCAACGUCAGCUUCGCUCAGAGGCUCGCAUUUUUUCAACUGUUCGAUCCAUCUGUCAACGUCUCCUAGAGUAGCGUCAUUCGCCUCCGGAGCAAGCUUACUAUCAUUUGCUGGAUCUAUAGACAUUAAUUAUGGAAUUUU